rnacentral:lncRNA from 1 species
GUUCCUGGAAAUCUCAGCCCAAAAAAGGACGUUUAGUAAUUCUAAAAGGGACUACAGGAUGAAAAACAAUAGUUUUGGCAGUUAAAGUUUGAGAUUCGAUGGUGCCGUAGACCCGUUUGGUCAUCAGGUGUUACGAGCCACACCCAUGUCUAGCUAGAGUAGUGUGCUAGGUUCAGACUAGAGAAGAAACAGGGAACAAAGUGAUGAAAGAAUGAUCAUACCGAGGGAAUUCACUCAGAACUAACAAGAAUGAUAACGUGCUCCGACUGGAGCGGUUUAGGAACUGCUGGAAGGCUCUAGGGGAAUAAAGAUGGAAUGACUUCUAAUUUUUACGUCCGUAUGAUUUGAAAUACUUGCACACAAACCACGCAAAAGCGUUCCUGGAAAUCUCAGCCUAAAAAAGGACGUUUAGUAAUUCAAAAAGGGACUACAAAAUGAAAAACAAUAGUUUUGGCAGUUAAAGUUUGAGAUUCGAUGGUGCCGUAGAUCCGUUUGGUCAUCAGGUGUUACGAGCCACACCCAUGUCUAGCUAGGAUAGUGUGUUAGGCUCAGGCUAGAGAAGAAACGGGGAACAAACUGAUGAAAGAAUGAUCAUACCGAGGGAAUUCACUCAGAACUAACAAGGAUGAUAACAUGCUCCGACUAGAGCGGUUUAGGAACUGCUGGAAGGCUCUAGGGGAAUAAAGAUGGAAUGACUUCUAAUUUUUAGGUCCGUAUGAUUUGAAAUACUUGCACACAAACCGCAAGAAAGCGUUCCUGGAAAUCUCAGCCCAAAAAAGGACGUUUAGUAAUUCUAAAAGGGACUACAGGAUGAAAAACAAUAGUUCUGGCAGUUAAAGUUUGAGAUUCGAUAAUGCCGUAGAUCUGUUUGGUCAUCAGGUGUAACGAGCCACACCCAUGUCUAGCUAGAGUAGUGUGCUAGGCUCAGACUAGAGAAGAAACGGGGAACAAACUGAUGAAAGAAUGAUUAUACCGAGGGAAUUCACUCAGAACUAACGAGAAUGAUAACGUGCUCCGACUGGAGCGGUUUAGGAACUGCUGGAAGGCUCUAGGGGAAUAAAGAUGGAAUGACUUCAAAUUUUUAGGUCUGUAUGAUUUGAAAUACUUGCACACAAACCGCAAGAAAGCGUUCCUUGAAAUCUCAGCCCAAAAAAGGACGUUUAGUAAUUCUAAAAGGGACUACAGGAUGAAAAACAAUAGUUCUGGCAGUUAAAGUUUGAGAUUCGAUAAUGUCGUAGAUCCGUUUGGUCAUCAGGUGUAACGAGCCACACCCAUGUCUAGCUAGAGUAGUGUGCUAGGCUCAGAAUAGAGAAGAAACGGGGAACAAACUGAUGAAAGAAUGAUCAUACCGAGGGAAUUCACUCAGAACUAACAAGAAUGAUAACGUGCUCCGACUGGAGCGGUUUAGGAACUGCUGGAAGGCUCUAGGGGAAUAAAGAAGGAAUGACUUCUAAUUUUUAGGUCCGUAUGAUUUGAAAUACGUGCACACAAACCGCGCGAAAGCGUUCCUGGAAAUCUCAGCCAAAAAAAGGACGUUUAGUAUUCUAAAAGGGACUACAGAAUGAAAAACAAUAGUUUUGGCAGUUAAAGUUUGAGAUUCGACGGUGCUGUAGAUCCGUUUGGUCAUCAGGUGUUACGAGCCACACCCAUGUCUAGCUAGAAUAGUGUGCUAGGCUCAGGCUAGAGAAGAAAAGGGGAACAAACUAAUGAAAGAAUGAUCAAUCCGAGGGAAUUCACUCAGAACUAACAAUAAUGAUAACGUGCUCCGACUGGAGCGGUUUAGGAACUGCUGGAAGGCUCUAGGCGAAUAAAGAUGGAAUGACUUCUAAUUUUUACGUCCGUAUGAUUUGAAAUACUUGCACACAAACCACGCAAAAGCGUUCCUGGAAGUCUCGGCCUAAAAAGGACGUUUAGUAAUUCUAAAAGGGACUACAGGAUGAAAAAUAAUAGUUUGGGCAGUUAAAAUUUGAGAUUCGACGGUGCCGUAGAUCCAUUUGGUCAUCAAGUGUUACGAGCCACACCCAUGUCUAGCUAGAAUAGUGUGUUAGGCUCAGGCUAGAGAAGAAACGGGGAACAAACUGAUGAAAGAAUGAUCAUACCAAGGGAAUUCACUCAGAACUAACAAGAAUGAUAACGUGCUCCGACUGGAGCAGUUUAGAAACUGCUGGAAGGCUCUUGGGGAAUAAAGAUGGAAUGACUUCAAAUUUUUAGGUCCGUAUGAUUUGAAAUACUUGCACACAAACCACGCGAAAGCGUUCCUGGAAAUCUCAGCCCAAAAAAGGACGUUUAGUAAUUCUAAAAGGGACUACAUGAUGAAAAACAAUAGUUUUGGCAGUUAAAGUUUGAGAAUCGUCGGUGCCGUAGAUCCGUUUGGUCAUCAGCUGUAACGAGCCACACCCAUGUCUAGCUAGAGUAGUGUGCUAGGCUCAGACUAGAGAAGAAACAGGGAACAAAGUGAUGAAAGAAUGAUCAUACCGAGGGAAUUCACUUAGAACUAACAAGAAUGAUAACAUGCUCCGACUUGAGCGAUUUAGGAACUUCUGGAAGGCUCUAGGGGAAUAAAGAUGGAAUGACUCAAAUUUUUAGGCCCGUAUGAUUUGAAAUACAUGCACACAAACCGCGAGAAAGUGUUCCUGGAAAUCUUAGCCCAAAAAAGGACGUUUAGUAAUUCUAAAAGGGACUACAGGAUGAAAAACAAUAGUUUUGGUAGUUAAAGUUUCAGAUUCGAUAAUGCCCUAGAUCCGUUUGGUCAUCAGGUGUAACGAGCCACACCAAUGUCUAGCUAGAGUAGUGUGCUAGGCUCAGACUAGAUAAGAAACGGGGAAGAAACUGAUGAAAGAAUGAUCAGACCGAGGGAAUUCACUCAGAACUAACAAUAAUGAUAACGUGCUCCGAGUGGAGCGGUUUAGGAACUGCUGGAAGGCUCUAGGGGAAUAAAGAUGGAAUGACUUCUAAUUUUUAGGUCCGUAUGAUUUGAAAUACGUGCACACAAACCCCGAGAAACCGUUCCUUGAAAUCUCGGCCCAAAAAAGGACGUUUAGUAAUUCUAAAAGGGACUACAAAAUGAAAAACAAUAGUUUUGGCAGUUAAAGUUUGAGAUUCGACGGUGUCGUAGACCCGUUUGGUCUUCAGGUGUUACGAGCCACACCCAUGUCUAGCCAGAGUAGUGUGCUAGGUUCAGACUAGAGAAGAAACGGGGAACAAAGUGAUGAAAGAAUGAUCAUACCGAGGGAAUUCACUCAGAACUAACAAGAAUGAUAACGUGCUCCGACUGGAGCGGGUUAGGAACUCCUGGAAGGCUCUAGGGGAAUAAAGAUGGAAUGACUUCUAAUUUUUACGUCCGUAUGAUUUGAAAUACUUGCACACAAACCACGCAAAAGCGUUCCUGGAAAUCUCAGCCUAAAAAAGGACGUUUAGUAAUUCUAAAAGGGACUACAGGAUGAAAAAUAAUAGUUUGGUCAUCAGGUGUUACGAGCCACACCCAUGUCUAGCUAGAAUAGUGUGCUAGGCUCAGGCUAGAGAAGAAACGGGGAAUAAACUGAUGAAAGAAUGAUCAAACCGAGGGAAUUCACUCAGAACUAACAAUAAUGAUAACGUUCUCCGUCUGGAGCGGUUUAGGAACUGCUGGAAGGCUCUAGGGGAAUAAAGAUGGAAUGACUUCUAAUUUUUAGGUCCGUAUGAUACGAAAUACUUGCACACAAACCGCGCGAAAUCGUUCCUGGAAAUCUCAGCCCAAAAAAGGACGUUUAGUAAUUCUAAAAGGGACUACAGCAUGAAAAACAAUAGUUCUGGCAGUUAAAGUUUGAGAUUCGAUAAUGCCGUAGAUCCGUUUGGUCAUCAGGUGUAACGAGCCACACCCAUGUCUAGCUAGAGUAGUAUGCUAGGCUCAGACUAGAGAAGAAACGGGGAACAAACUGAUGAAAGAAUGAUUAUACCGAGGGAAUUCACUCAGAACUAACAAGAAUGAUAACGUGCUCCGGCUGGAGCGGUUUAGGAACUGCUAGAAGGCUCUAGGGGAAUAAAGAUGGAAUGACUUCAAAUUUUUAGGUCUGUAUGAUUUGAAAUACUUGCACACAAACCGCAAGAAAGCGUUCCUGGAAAUCUCAGCCCAAAAAAGGACGUUUAGUAAUUCUAAAAGGGACUAUAGGAUGAAAAACAAUAGUUCUGGUAGUUAAAGUUUGAGAUUCGAUAAUGUCAUAGAUCCGUUCGGUCAUCAGGUGUAACGAGCCACACCCAUGUCUAGCUAGAGUAGUGUGCUAGGCUCAGACUAGAGAAGAAACGGGGAACAAACUGAUGAAAGAAUGAUCAUACCGAGGGAAUUCACUCAGAACUAACAAGAAUGAUAACGUGCUCCGACUGGAGCGGUUUAGGAACUGCUGGAAGGCUCUAGGGGAAGAAAGAAGGAAUGACUUCUAAUUUUUAGGUCCGUAUGAUUUGAAAUACGUGCACACAAACCGCGCGAAAGCGUUCCUGGAAAUCUCAGCCCAAAAAAGGACGUUUAGUAUUCUAAAAGGGACUACAGAAUGAAAAACAAUAGUUUUGGCAGUUAAAGUUUGAGAUUCGACGGUGCCGUAGAUCCGUUUGGUCAUCAGGUGUUACGAGCCACACCCAUGUCUAGCUAGAAUAGUGUGCUAGGCUCAGGCUAGAGAAGAAAAGGGGAACAAACUGAUGAAAGAAUGAUCAAACCGAGGGAAUUCACUCAGAACUAACAAUAAUGAUAACGUGCUCCGACUGGAGCGGUUUAGGAACUGCUGGAAGGCUCUUGGCGAAUAAAGAUGGAAUGACUUCUAAUUUUUACGUCCGUAUGAUUUGAAAUACUUCCACACAAACCAGGCAAAGGCGUUCCUGGAAAUCUCGGCCUAAAAAGGACGUUUAGUAAUUCUAAAAGGGACUACAGGAUGAAAAAUAAUAGUUUGGGCAGUUAAAAUUUUAGAUUCGACGGUGCCGUAGAUCCGUUUGGUCAUCAGGUGUUACGAGCCACACCCAUGUCUAGCUAGAAUAGUGUGUUAGGCUCAGGCUAGAGAAGAAACGGGGAACAAACUGAUGAAAGAAUGAUCAUACCAAGGGAAUUCACUCAGAACUAACAAGAAUGAUAACGUGCUCCGACUGGAGCAGUUUAGAAACUACUGGAAGGCUCUAGGGGAAUAAAGAUGGAAUGACUUCAAAUUUUUAGGUCCGUAUGAUUUGAAAUACUUGCACACAAACCGCGCGAAAGCGUUCCUGGAAAUCUCAGCCCAAAAAAGGACGUUUAGUAAUUCUAAAAGGGACUACAUGAUGAAAAACAAUAGUUUUGGCAGUUAAAGUUUGAGAUUCGUCGGUGCCGUAGAUCCGUUUGGUCAUCAGCUGUAACGAGCCACACCCAUUUCUAGCUAGAGUAGUGUGCUAGGCUCAGACUAAAGAAGAAAUGGGGAACAAAGUGAUGAAAGAAUGCUCAUACCGAGGGAAUUCACUCAGAACUAACAAGAAUGAUAACAUGCUCCGACUUGAGCGAUUUAGGAACUUCUGGAAGGCUCUAGGGGAAUAAAGAUGGAAUGACUCAAAUUUUUAGGUCCGUAUGAUUUGAAAUACUUGCACACAAACCGCGAGAAAGCGUUCCUGGAAAUCUCAGCCCAAAAAAGGACGUUUAGUAAUUCUAAAAGGGACUACAUGAUGAAAAACAAUAGUUUUGGCAGUUAAAGUUUGAGAUUUGAUAAUGCCGUAGAUCCGUUUGGUCAUCAGGUGUAACGAGCCACACCCAUGUCUAGCUAGAGUAGUGUGCUAGGCUAAGACUAGAUAAGAAAAGGGGAAGAAACUUAUGAAAGAAUGAUCAGACCGAGGGAAUUCACUCAGAACUAACAAUAAUGAUAACGUGCUCCGACUGGAGCGGUUUAGGAACUGCUGGAAGGCUCUAGGGGAAUAAAGAUGGAAUGACUUCUAAUUUUUAGGUCCGUAUGAUUUGAAAUACGUGCACACAAACCCCGAGAAACCGUUCCUGGAAAUCUCGGCCCAAAAAAGGAUGUUUAGUAAUUCUAAAAGGGACUACAAAAUGAAAAACAAUAGUUUUGGCAGUUAAAGUUUGAGAUUUGAUGGUGCCGUAGAUCUGUUUGGUCAUCAGGUGUUACGAGCCACACCCAUGUCUAGCUAGAAUAGUGUGUUAGGCUCAGGCUAGAAAAGAAACGGGAAACAAAGUGAUGAAAGAAUGAUCAUACCGAGGGAAUUCACUCAGAACUAACAAGAAUGAUAACAUGCUCUGACUGGAGCGGUUUAGGAACUGCUGGAAGGCUCUAGGGGAAUAAAGAUGGAAUGACUUCUAAUGUUUAGGUCCGUAUGAUUUGAAAUACUUGCACAUAAACCGCGCAAAAGCGUUCCUGGAAAUCUCAGCCCAAAAAAGGACGUUUAGUAAUUCUAAAAGGGACUACAGGAUGAAAAACAAUAGUUUUGGCAGUUAAAGUUUGAGAUUCGACGGUGCCGUAGAUCCGUUUGUUCAUCAGGUGUUACGAGCCACACCCAUGUCUAGCUAGAAUAGUGUGUUAGGCUCAGGCUAGAGAAGAAACGGGGAACAAACUGAUGAAAGAAUGAUCAAACCGAGGGAAUUCACUCAGAACUAACAAUAAUGAUAACGUGCUCCGACUAGAGCGGUUUAGGAACUGCUGGAAGGCUCUAGGGGAAUAAAGAUGGAAUGACUUCUAAUUUUUAGGUCUGUAUGAUUUGAAAUACUUGCACGCAAACCGCGCGAAAGCGUUCCCGGAAAUAUCAGCCUAAAGAAGGACGUUUAGUAAUUCUAAAAGGGACUACAGGAUGAAAAACAAUAGUUUUGGCAGUUAAAGUUUGAGAUUCAACGGUGCCGUAGAUCCGUUUGGUCAUCAGGUGUUACGAGCCACACCCAUGUCUAGCUAGAGUAGUGUGCUAGGCUCAGGCUAGAGAAGAAACAGGGAACAAACUGAUGAAAGAAUGAUCAUACCGAGGGAAUUCACUCAGAACUGAUGAAAGAAUGAUCAAACCAAGGAAAUUCACUCAGAACUAACAAUAAUGAUAACAUGCUCCGACUGGAGCGGUUUAGGAACUGCUGGAAGGCUCUAGGGGAAUAAAGAUGGAAUGACUUCUAAUUUUUAGGUCCGUAUGAUUUGAAAUACGUGCACACAAACCCCGAGAAACCGUUCCUGGAAAUCUCGGCCCAAAAAAGGACGUUUAGUAAUUCUAAAAGGGACAACAAAAUGAAAAACAAUAGUUUUGGCAGUUAAAGUUUGAGAUUCGACGGUGCCGUAGACCCGUUUGGUCAUCAGGUGUUACGAGCCACACCCAUGUCUAGCUAGAGUAGUGUGCUAGGUUCAGACUAGAGAAGAAACGGGGAACAAAGUGAUGAAAGAAUGAUCAUACCGAGGGAAUUCACUCAGAACUAACAAGAAUGAUAACGUGCUCCGACUGGAGCGGGUUAGGAAUUGCUGGAAGGCUCUAGGGGAAUAAAGAUAGAAUGACUUCUAAUUUUUACGUCCGUAUGAUUUGAAAUACUUGCACACAAACCACGCAAAAGCGUUCCUAGAAAUCUCAGCCUAAAAAAGGACGUUUAGUAAUUCUAAAAGGGACUACAGGAUGAAAAAUAAUAGUUUGGCCAGUUAAAAUUUAAGAUUCGACGGUGCCGUAGAUCCGCUUGGUCAUCAGGUGUUACGAGCCACACCCAUGUCUAGCUAGAAUAGUGUGUUAGGCUCAGGCUAGAGAAGAAACGGGGAACAAACUGAUGAAAGAAUGAUCAUACCGAGGGAAUUCACUCAGAACUAACAAGAAUGAUAACAUGCUCCGACUGGAGCGGUUUAGGAACUGCUGGAAGGCUCUAGGGGAAUAAAGAUGGAAUGACUUCUAAUUUUUAGGUCCGUAUGAUUUGAAAUACUUGCACACAAACCGCAAGAAAGCGUUCCUGGAAAUCUCAGCACAAAAAAGGACGUUUAGUAAUUCUAAAAGGGACUACAGCAUGAAAAACAAUAGUUCUGGCAGUUAAAGUUUGAGAUUCGAUAAUGCCGUAGAUCCGUUUGGUCAUCAGGUGUAACGAGCCACACCCAUGUCUAGCUAGAGUAGUGUGCUAGGCUCAGACUAGAGAAGAAACGGGGAACAAAAUGAUGAAAGAAUGAUUAUACCGAGGGAAUUCACUCAGAACUAACAAGAAUGAUAACGUGCUCCGACUGGAGCGGUUUAGGAACUGCUGGAAGGCUCUAGGGGAAUAAAGAUGGAAUGACUUCAAAUUUUUAGGUCUGUAUGAUUUGAAAUACUUGCACACAAACCGCAAGAAAGCGUUCCUGGAAAUCUCAGCCCAAAAAUGGACGUUUAGUAAUUCUAAAAGGGACUAUAGGAUGAAAAACAAUAGUUCUGGCAGUUAAAGUUUGAGAUUCGAUAAUGUCGUAGAUCCGUUCGGUCAUCAGGUGUAACGAGCCACACCCAUGUCUAGCUAGAGUAGUGUGCUAGGCUCAGACUAGAGAAGAAACGGGGAACAAACUGAUGAAAGAAUGAUCAUACCGAGGGAAUUCACUCAGAACUAACAAGAAUGAUAACGUGCUCCGACUGGAGCGGUUUAGGAACUGCUGGAAGGCUCUAGGGGAAGAAAGAAGGAAUGACUUCUAAUUUUUAGGUCCGUAUGAUUUGAAAUACGUGCACACAAACCGCGCGAAAGCGUUCCUGGAAAUCUCAGCCCAAAAAAGGACGUUUAGUAUUCUAAAAGGGACUACAGAAUGAAAAACAAUAGUUUUGGCAGUUAAAGUUUGAGAUUCGACGGUGCCGUAGAUCCGUUUGGUCAUCAGGUGUUACGAGCCACACCCAUGUCUAGCUAGAAUAGUGUGCCAGGCUCAGGCUAGAGAAGAAAAGGGGAACAAACUGAUG